UACGUAGGGCGCAAGCGUUAUCCGGAAUUAUUGGGCGUAAAGAGCUCGUAGGCGGUUUGUCGCGUCUGCCGUGAAAGUCCGGGGCUCAACUCCGGAUCUGCGGUGGGUACGGGCAGACUAGAGUGAUGUAGGGGAGACUGGAAUUCCUGGUGUAGCGGUGGAAUGCGCAGAUAUCAGGAGGAACACCGAUGGCGAAGGCAGGUCUCUGGGCAUUAACUGACGCUGAGGAGCGAAAGCAUGGGGAGCAAACAGG
rnacentral:rRNA from 1 species